rnacentral:rRNA from 1 species
GAUGAACGCUGGCGGCGUGCCUAAUACAUGCAAGUCGAGCGAACGGACGAGAAGCUUGCUUCUCUGAUGUUAGCGGCGGACGGGUGAGUAACACGUGGAUAACCUACCUACAAGACUGGGAUAACUUCGGGAAACCGGAGCUAAUACCGGAUGAUAUUUUGAACCGCAUGGUUCAAAAGUGAAAGACGGUCUUGCUGUCACUUAUAGAUGGAUCCGCGCUGCAUUAGCUAGUUGGUAAGGUAACGGCUUACCAAGGCAACGAUGCAUAGCCGACCUGAGAGGGUGAUCGGCCACACUGGAACUGAGACACGGUCCAGACUCCUACGGGUGGCAGCAGUAGGGAAUCUUCCGCAAUGGGCGAAAGCCUGACGGAGCAACGCCGCGUGAGUGAUGAAGGUCUUCGGAUCGUAAAACUCUGUUAUUAGGGAAGAACAUAUGUGUAAGUAACUGUGCACAUCUUGACGGUACCUAAUCAGAAAGCCACGGCUAACUACGUG